rnacentral:rRNA from 1 species
UACGUAGGCAGCAAGCGUUGUUCGGAGUUACUGGGCGUAAAGGGUGCGUAGGCGGUUGUUUAAGUUUGGUGUGAAAUCUCCCGCUCAACCGGGAGGGUGCGCCGAAUACUGAAUGACUAGAGUGCGGGAGAGGAGAGUGGAAUUCCUGGUGUAGCGGUGAAAUUCGUAGAUAUUGGGAAGAACGCCGGUGGCGAAGGCGGCUCACUGGCUCAUUACUGACGCUCAGGCGCGAUAGCGUGGGGAUCAAACAGG